AUAUCAAUAAGCGGAGGAAAAGAAACCAACAGGGAUUGCCUCAGUAACGGCGAGUGAAGCGGCAAGAGCUCAAAUUUGAAAUCUGGCCCUCCCGGGUCCGAGUUGUAAUUUGUAGAGGAUGUUUCGGGCAAGGCCGGGGCGUAAGUUUCUUGGAACAGAACGUCAUAGAGGGUGAGAAUCCCGUCUGGCGUCCGUGGCUGCGUCUAUGUGAAACUCCUUCGACGAGUCGAGUUGUUUGGGAAUGCAGCUCAAAAUGGGUGGUAAAUUUCAUCUAAAGCUAAAUACACGCCAGAGACCGAUAGCGAACAAGUAGAGUGAUCGAAAGAUGAAAAGCACUUUGAAAAGAGAGUUAAACAGUACGUGAAAUUGUUGAAAGGGAAGCGCUUGCGACCAGACUUGCGCGCGGUGGCUCCCCCGGCCUUCUGGCUGGGUCAUUCCACUGUGUCCAGGCCAACAUCGGUUCCGGGGGCCGGUUAAAGACCGCGGGAAUGUACCUUCUUCCGGGAAGACUUAUAGCCUGUGGUGUCAUGCGGCCACCUGGGACCGAGGAACGCGCUCCGGCUCGGAUGUUGGCGUAAUGGUCGUCAGCGG
rnacentral:rRNA from 1 species